rnacentral:rRNA from 1 species
CGCUCGUAGCAAUACGGGAGUGGCAGACGGGUGAGUAACGCGUGGGAACAUACCCUCCGGUUCGGAAUAGCUCAGGGAAACUUGGAUUAAUACCGGAUACGGCUGAGAGGCGAAAGAUUUAUCGCCGGAGGAUUGGCCCGCGUUCGAUUAGCUUGUUGGUGAGGUAACGGCUCACCAAGGCGAUGAUCGAUAGCUGGUCUGAGAGGGUGAUCAGCCACAUUGGGACUGAGACACGGCCCAAACUCCUACGGGAGGCAGCAGUGGGGAAUAUUGGACAAUGGGCGCGAGCCUGAUCCAGCCAUGCCGCGUGAGUGAUGACGGCCUUAGGGUUGUAAAGCUCUUUCGCUCGGGACGAUAAUGACGGUACCGAGAUAAGAAGCCCCGGCUAACUUCGUGCCAGCAGCCGCGGUAAUACGAAGGGGGCUAGCGUUGUUCGGAAUUACU